AUUCCGCGCCGCUGGUUCUCCACCUCCCCUCCCUCUCCUCACUACAGGACGCCGCCGGGCGAAGCUCGGCUCGCGUCGGCGGCGCCGGGGUCACUCUCCUGCCUCAAGCAGCGUCGGCGGCGCGGGAUGCAGCGGGCUCGGCCUGUGUCACCGACGCGAGUGUCCCUCUCUAGCGGCGGCGGUGGCGGAUUCAGCGGACGCGGGCCGUGGCGGCGUCGGCGGCGGUGGACGCAGCGGGCUCGGCCUGCGUCGGCGGCGGCGGGUCCAUCUCCUUCCUCGAAUAGCAGCGGGCUCGCGCCCCACGAUUUAUUCGACUCCGGCGAUUUGUCAACUUCUGCUUUAGCGGCGCCGCAACGGAGCACUCUGUCGGGCCCCUUGGCGGGAUCGGCGUCCGGAUCAUCUCGCGCCUCCGCAAGGGGGAUGGGACUGCUCGGGCUCAUCUGCAAGAGCCCCUCGCCGCCAUGCCGCCUGCUGCCGCUGACACCGUCAACGGGAGCGGACGAGCAGGAGAGAUCCUGUCGAUCUGAUGGCGAAAGGGCGAGAUAACCGGCUCCUGUAUGUUUUGGAAGGUCUACCUCGAGAUAAAUUUGGACACCGGCAAGCUCCUCUCAGUAAAGCAAGUCGUGGGAUUUGGGGAUUUGCACGUUUUGGUUUUCUGGUUUGUACGUAUUGUCUAAAGACUUGGAGUCAUUCGUUGCAGGUUACACCAAGUCUCUCCUUUGUUUGAUUUUGGUUCCAGCUUUGAUCGGGAGCACCAACCGCGAGCUGGGAGAAAGCCCAAAGAACUCGAGGAAGAAGUGAAGCUCCUCAUUUUCUGUGAAGAAGUACCUUGAGACUGUCCGUGAGGAAGACACGCUGAAUAUCUUGCUUGAUUUUGUUCCCCGCCCACUGCACGCCGCUGUCGAGAACACCUCUGCUACCUCCUCCCAAUCUCCGCCACAAGAUUCUCCGUCCAGAUCCUGGGCGAGGAAUAAAAAAAUUAGUUCUUGAAGCUUCUCCAUCAUGCCGGACGGACAACUGUAUCCGGCACCGUCGCCAUCGCUUAUGGAGUUCCACACCAUUGCCCAGUUGUACGAGAGCAUGUUCAAUCUUCUCCAUUCAAGACUAUGCAAGUGGUGAACUCCAAACAAGAAGAUAUGAGGAUAUGGCAUAUAUGCCCCAUAAGGUAGCUAUAUGGUAAUUCAUGUAUUGUAGUUUGGAUUACGGUCACACUUUGAAGGGUAAGUAGAUGAUGCUCAAUGACAUAACCUGCACUGAUCUUCACAGUCAUAUCAUCUGAUAGAAGUUUAUUGAAUUUCAUUUAAAUUUUGUUGUAUGUUAUCCAUGAUGUAAGUGGAGAUAGGAAGUUAAACAAAAUUAAAAAUUGCAGCACAAAGGGGAUGUCCACCAAUGAUUUGACAUGAUAAAAUGUUAGUGAAGUAUGGCAAACUAUGACAUUAGCAAAACUUAUAUUUACAUAUAUUCAUAUAUAUGAAUUUUGGAAAUGUGCAUUGCACGUAUAUCGUACUUCUCUUCACUAUUCAAAAUACUUGUACCCACUAUGAUUUCAUUUUUUAUUAUUUACCUUGAAGGAGUAUUAUAUUAAUGUUAUUUGUUGUCCACCUUGAUCCUUCACUGCUAUUUUUCCUACUAAGCAACUUUGCAUGGAGUUAAGAUCAUUUCUUAAGAUUCUGGUAUGUUUUUCAAAUUCGCUUCCUUUAUGCAUGAACCUAUCAUCAAGAUUUAGACCUCUUAUAUGGUGCAUGUAUGCUGCUGUAAGAAGAAAUGUAAUAUUGUCCUCAUCAAUUUCUUUCUUAGCAUGCACAAUGUGUUACAACAUCAAUUUCAUUGGUUUGGAGAAGGUGAUAAACAUGCAACCGUUCUUACUUGAUGAUAUGAAUGCUUCAUUGAAGCAAUAUUGGCCUUUGUUUGCACAUUAGUGUUCCAUUAUGUAGUAAAAGAUGUGGUCUGGUAGCCUUUCUUCAUUGUUACAGUUAUUGUCAAAUGGUGGAAUAUUGGUGCCUGGUAGCUCUGGUUCAUGUAAGCAUGACGAAACAUCGUAAAAUCAUAUUUCUUGUUGUAUCAUGAGUCAUAUGAAAAAGAAGGUUAGGCGAUUUAUGUUUUUAGAUUUUCUAUUGCUCGUGUGUUAAAUAUCUAGGCAUACAUUUCAGAUAUAAAUUUGGGCAUAAAUUGUCACAAAUAGAUGGGUGGCGUGGGUCAAGGUUCAGAAACCCAGGGCAUCAUGUUUCUUUCGAGCCAUAUGAGGAGAACUACAUCCAUGGUAGUGGCUACAAUAUAACUAGAGAGCCAUGUACAUGUUGAUUGUUAUGAAAUCAUGGGAUGGAAUCUUGAUCUCCGGUGUCCAGAAAUCUAUUUUCUCAGAGAAAAAAUCGAUGCGAGUUUAUAUUGCUGAUGUUUCGUCACGCACCUUAAUUUCUUCUUCGGAUUAUGAAAUAUUUAGGUUAACAAGAUGCCAUGUAAGUUGGGUUGAGAUCUGCUAUACAAUGACUUUCUUUUGUUCAAAUAUUUCAUUUUUUUUCAUUUUCAUGCUGUCGAAGUAUUUGUACUUGUGAUUUCCUGAAGUUUUGUGAAAUAUUGAAGGAUAUCUUGGAACGACAAAGUUCCCAGUC